CUUGACCGUGCCGAGCCACAGGGGCCGGUGCCCUGGGCGGUCCUGCCCGUAGGUGGCGAUGAUCGCCUGCGCCUC
rnacentral:antisense_RNA from 1 species